GAGCGUGCUGUUCUAAUCAAUCAAAUCGCACCUGCUAACUUGUAAUUAGCACUGAUUAGCACCAUGUCGGAGCAGCCAUAGGGUGAAUUUUUAAUCGUCUUUUUAAUGCUGCAGCCCGUGCAAGACCGGAGCUGGCAGCGAGAAAUGAUGAUUCAACCUUAUUUUUCACAACAAGAUGACUAUUUCGCCGGCGAAUUCAUCGAGUUCGAGGAGGAUCUGGUGGCCGCAGGGAAAACCCUAUUUGGCAAGCAAAACUUUACCUCUUUCCAGGGCCAGAUAAUGGUUUUCUGCCCCCCACAAUAGAACUUGAGGAACUGGCUAAACAUGGAUUAGGAAAACCUGUGCACGAGUCAACGGAGGCCGGAUGCACAAACUCAAAGAUUGGGUUAAACUGGAGUUUAUCUGAAUUAAACAACUUUGUUUGCCAAAGCUACCCUCGCAUCAGUUAUAAAUUUGGUAGGCUUUGGAUUGGCAAGGACAGGCAAAGGAUGCAAGAUCCAGAAAUUGCAAGUUAGUUCUGUGAAGGAACUAAAAGCAGUUGUUGGCAAAAGCAGGCUUUAUA